rnacentral:rRNA from 1 species
GACGAACCGUGCGAACGUUGUUCGGAAUCACUGGGCUUAAAGGGCGCGUAGGCGGGCGGCAAAGUCAGGGGUGAAAUCCUCCAGCUUAACUGGAGAAGUGCCUUUGAUACUGGUCGUCUUGAGGAAGGUAGGGGCAUGCGGAACUGAUGGUGGAGCGGUGAAAUGUGUUGAUAUCAUCAGGAACUCCGGUGGCGAAAGCGGCGUGCUGGACCUUUUCUGACGCUGAUGCGCGAAAGCCAGGGGAGCAAACGGG